ACAAGGAACCAUCUAUCUUUUAUAGUGAGGGUUACAUUUGUGUUGCAUAAAGAAAUUUGAUUGACUGAAAAUAUACUAUGGAACCAAUUGAGUUUCUUUUUCCAAGAGUAUAAACUCUAACUUCUUCUCUUAAGGAGCAUCAACAAGUUACUUCACCCAAUUCCGUUCAUAAAUUAGGGGUUUAUGCUUCAAUUUCCUUAUACAGAACUUACUUCACUUGAUUUUGGGUAGAUUCAGAUAAUUUUGGGGGUUUUAAGCACCAACGAAUUCGUCACAACUGGAAAUAGGUAUUAUAUCUGUCUCAUAUAAGCCUGUGAUGGAUUUGAUUAUUUUGAUCAACUAGGGUUCUUUAUCUGUUGCAGGUAAUAAGUCUCUCUGUUUUAUUAUUUUCGUAAUUUUUUAUUCAAUUUUCUUUUUAAGGUUACUAUUAUUGAUUAACAUGAACGAAGAAGUAAGGCACAUAUGCGUAACAGCUUAGAUCAGGUAAUGCACUUAUUAUAUUAGGGUUAACCUUUUUCUCCACCAUCUACACAUAUGUAUCAUCCUAAUAUAUUCACCUCUCUUCUUUUCUUGGUUGAUUUACCUUGAUUUACCUUCAGGUAUUAUAUCUGUCUCAUAUAAGCCUGUGAUGGAUUUGAUUAUUUUGAUCAACUAGGGUUCUUUAUCUGUUGAAGGUAAUAAGUCUCUCUGUUUUCUUAUUUUUCAUAAUUUUUGAUUCAAUUUUCUUUUUAAGGUUACUAUUAUAGAUUAACAGGAACGAAGAAGUAAGACACAUAUGCAUAAAAGCUUAGCUCAGGUAUGGAUGUGCUAGAGUUUUAUAUAGCAAAAAGGAUUAGAUGGUUUGCUGCAGUUAAACAGAUGAGAUGUUGCAGGCUUCAAACAAGCAAUGAUAUGCUUCAAGUCCAGAGAACAAUACUUCGAAACAAAACUUAAAAGCUUGCCAGAUGUUACAGGCUUCACUCAAUACCUUGCACAUUUAUGGUUUUGCAAAAUGUUACUUACUUUGUUAUUGAAUCUAAUCUCAACUCCGAUCCACGGCAGGCAAUUUAUUUUUCUCUUAUUCUUUCCUACGUUUACGUUUGGUUAGAGUUUUAGAGUUUUUGGUUAAUACAUGUUCUCUAUUUUGAAUCUCUGAUCAAGGAUACCACUCUUCUUUUUAUUUUGAUUUGCAAUUUAAUAACAGGGUUAGAGAAGGACCAGAACUGUCCAUAUCUUGCAUUAACCAGCUCCAGAUUUUGAUAUUACUUCUGCUACAAGAAGACUUCUCUUUUUCAAUAUGUGAUUCCUUGGCCAACUAUCCCGCAUACAAAAGUAUAUGCUUACCUCUAUGCAGUAUUGGCGAGAUAUUUUGAAUCUAGGUUUGUGAUGGGCUUAUACAGAGAGAAAGAAACGUGUUUACCACUUGUACUAUGGCUGGAAUUUUAGACUUAUAAAACAAAUGUGUCUGAGUUUAAGUCUUUCCCGAUCACAAAAAAUGCAUGUAUAUGGCAGACCGGUUGCAGUGUGGUAUUGAUAGUGAUUAUUAUUUGUAAA